rnacentral:lncRNA from 1 species
CCCCAGCGAAGGGAAACAAAACAAAACGCCGGCACCGCCGCGCUCUCCCUCCUUCUCCUCCUGGCAUUUGGUGGUGGUUUUUUUUUCUUGGGGACUCUCCUUUCUCCUGCCAGACUGACUUGCACCUUCUCGAUUAUUUCUCUUCCCCUCGUUUUUUUAUACUCUUCUCCCUGCUUCCAAACCCUGUGUCUGUGUGUUUUAAUACUAUCACAACCUCUGCUAAAAAUAGAUCUUUUUAUAUACCCUUCCUCCUCUCUGAUCCCAUCCAACACCCCUUGUUAAGAUUGAACACAGGUAUUACGUGCUCAUCAAGAAGCACUGGAUUUUGUAGGGCCCACUCAGCUUCAGAUUCGUCUUCAGCAUGUGAGGAGGUUUAUGCUUCUGAACCAGUGCUUCCAUUCCCCUGUCUCUGAGAGAAGACGGGUAUGUUCUAAGUGCGAUGCUACAGUCCUCCGGACAACUGUCUUCAGCAGCUGAUCACCCAGUAAGUAAAGAGUGAAACCUCUCCAGAAGAUCGUCUUUGAGCUCAUUUUGUGUGCUCUUCUGAAGGCAAUGAAUACGUUGCCACUGACUUUAAUGCAAAUGGACUUUGAGUAGAAAGCCAUGCAAGGAGACAGAAGCCACUCGACCCAGAAGGCCACAACCAAUAAAAUCAACAGGAACAUUUGAACA